GUCCAGACUCCUACGGGAGGCAGCAGUGGGGAAUAUUGCACAAUGGGGGAAACCCUGAUGCAGCGACGCCGCGUGAGCGAUGAAGUAUUUCGGUAUGUAAAGCUCUAUCAGCAGGGAAGAGGAUGACGGUACCUGACUAAGAAGCCCCGGCUAACUACGUGCCAGCAGCCGCGGUAAUACGUAGGGGGCAAGCGUUAUCCGGAUUUACUGGGUGUAAAGGGAGCGUAGACGGCGAUGCAAGCCAGAUGUGAAAGCCCGGGGCUCAACCCCGGGACUGCAUUUGGAACUGUGUGGCUGGAGUGUCGGAGAGGGAGGCGGAAUUCCUAGUGUAGCGGUGAAAUGCGUAGAUAUUAGGAGGAACACCAGUGGCGAAGGCGGCCUGCUGGACGAUGACUGACGUUGAGGCUCGAAAGCGUGGGGAGCAAACAGGAUUAGAUACCCCGGUAUAU
rnacentral:rRNA from 1 species